rnacentral:rRNA from 1 species
UACCAGCACCCCGAGUGGUCGGGACGAUUAUUGGGCCUAAAGCAUCCGUAGCCGGUUUUACAAGUCCCCCGUUAAAUCCAGCUGCUUAACAGAUGGGCUGCGGAGGAUACUAUAAGACUAGGAGGCAGGAGAGGCAAGCGGUACUCAGUGGGUAGGGGUAAAAUCCGUUGAUCCAUUGAAGACCACCAAUGGCGAAGGCGGCUUGCCAGAAUGCGCUCGACGGUGAGGGAUGAAAGCUGGGGGAGCAAACCGG